AAUACGCUUCUGCAUCUCUCCUCACUCUCUCCGCAUCCGCUAACAACAAACCCAUCAUCGGAGCUAACGGAGUGAUUCCACUAUUAGUCAAAGUCAUUAAACACGGAAGCCCACAAGCUAAAGCUGAUGCAGUCAUGGCACUCUCCAACCUCUCUACACUCUCCACUAACCUAACAACGAUCAUAGCGACCAAACCACUCUCACCGAUCCUGAACCUUCUAAAAUCAAGUAAAAAAUCAUCGAAAACAUCUGAGAAAUGCUGUUCCCUGAUAGAAUCCUUGAUGGUUUCUAACGAGAAGGCGAGAACGGGUUUAGUCUCAGAUGAAGGAGGAGUGUUGGCAGUGGUGGAAGUUCUUGAAAACGGGUCACUACAAGCUAAGGAGCACGCCGUUGGUGUGCUGUUAACACUGUGCCAAAGCGAUAGGAGUAAAUACAGAGAGCCGAUUCUGAAAGAAGGUGUAAUACCGGGACUGCUCGAGCUCACGGUUCAAGGGACAUCGAAGUCUCGUACCAAAGCUCAGAGACUUCUCUGUUUACUAAGGGACUCGGAUAGCCCGAGAUCAGAGGUGCAACCGGAUACAAUAGAGAACAUAGUGUCGAGCUUAAUCUCUCAUAUAGAUGGAGAUGAUCAGUCUGGUAAGGCGAAGAAGAUGCUGGCUGAGAUGGUGCAAGUUAGCAUGGAGAAGAGCUUGAGACAUCUACAAGAACGUGCUUCCACUCUUGUCCGUCCCUAAGGGUGAUGAAAAGAUUGAAGGAUGCAUUAUAUAUGCCAGUCCAGUGCCGGCGUUUUGGUUCUUAGUGACUGGUUUCCUCAAAAGUUUUUGGUAUAUUUCUAUAGAAACGUUUUUUUUUUAACUUAAAAGUUUCAGUGUAGGCCGUGCCUGACUAUAGGCUGAUCAAGCACAUGCUUGGGGCCCUAAUGUGUAUAAAUAUUUUAAGGGCCAAUUUUUUUAACAAAGUCUAGUUAGUUCUAUUGGUCUUUGUUCAAUUCUUUCCUACAAAGGGUUGGAGUUUGAUUCUUUGCCCCAUAAAUUUUAAUGUUUUUCCAUAAUAAGUAAUUGAAGGGCCAAAAAUAUAUUUUGUGCUUGGGGGCCCAAAAAAGUCAGGCACGGCCCUGGUCUUAACAUUGAGGAGAACCAAACUUUAGCAUAAUAAAAUAUAGAACAAAAUCCCACGGUCAAUCUUUGGCCCAUCUACAUCACAUAUGUUCAAAAAAUAUCUAAUUUUCAACAAACAAAACUAGGAAAAUUAAAGCCAUCCCUAAAAAGUCUUCCAAACCUCCUCUCUCAUAAAUAUUUUGCUUCAUACAAUAUGCCUUUUUAUAAUAACAGAAAACUAUAGUUUAAAAUAUAAAUAUUACAUAAUAGAUAUUGCCCAUGGUGUAUUAUAUAUACACACGUAGUAUGUAACUGUUAGCUAACGCCAUACUCAAUACGUCUCUCUGAAAACAGAUCUUUCGUCCAUUUCUCUCUCAAAAUGGACCUCGCCUCCACCGUCCCUUCUUCCUCUUCCUCUUCCUCCGUUUCAUCAAUCGACACGAGCCACGACUGCGAUUCUCCGCGCGGCGGAGACGCAGAUCACGAACUGCUCCACGCGGGGGUUUCGGUUUCUGUUUCUUCCUCGUCGUCUUCCGCCUCGAUUCAGAGAAUCCUCGGUUUGAUCCGAUCGGAGGAUCCGGAUUCGAGGCUGUUCGCAGCUAGAGAGAUCCGUCGGCUGACGAAGACGUCGCAUAGGUGCCGCCGACACUUUUCGCAGGCCGUCGAGCCGCUCGUUUCGAUGCUGAGGUUGUUAGACUCGCCUGAAUCGCACCACGAGGCGGCUCUGCUUGCUCUCCUUAACCUCGCCGUUAAAUACGAGAAGUACGUUUCUUCCUUCCUUACUCAAAAUUCGAAUUGUUAUCUGAUUAACGGUUUCUAAGCUUGAAAUUAGUGGAAAAAAAUCAACAAGGCCGAUCCUGAGAUUCAUAUUGUUUGAAAACAAAUUAAAAAGGCUAAAUCAUCAAUACAUAUUCAUUCCUUCGUCGAUUUAAACUUCAAAUUAAAACCAAUAGAUGAUAAAUGAAUUGAUCAUGUCCAUUUAUAUACCCCCUAUGUUUUAUUUUAAUUAUUAUUUUAAGUGCAAACACACGAUUAAGAAAACAUAUAAUUUUGUAUAUUUCCAAAAAAAAAACACAAUUACAUAUACACCUAACCAUAUUUCAAUCAAUAGAAAAAUAAAGUAGAUAAUCUUAUCAAUAAAUUUUGCAUUGAAACUCUAAAAUGAUACUUAUUUUGAAACGAUCAUUUUUUUCUACAAUGACAAUUAAAUCGAAACGGAAGGAGUUAUUACUUAUCUAGUCAGUAGAUAAACUCCUGAGGUGGGAGUUUAGGGAGCUAAAGCUAAUGUUUCAUCUUGUUAUGUCUUUGGAUCGGGCCGUGUGUAUUAAUCAAAACUGAAUAUUAGAUUAGUGAUCUGAUUUGAUCAUUAGCUCAAUUGUAUUAAUAGAUUAGGGGAGAAAAUCAAGUCAUCAUUUUAAACCAAAAGGUGUCAAUUCGUCUGCCUUUUGGUCGGUCUCGUGUAAGUUCAUGAUUGGAUGAUUGCAUCUGAUGGAUAAUCUCUCGAUUUUAGCGAACUCUGUUUUUCUGCUUUAAGCACUUUCUUUAAUCAGAUUUGGUGGAUCCAUCAAACUUUUUUUUGUUACUUAUCUUUGCUGGCAAGUGCUUUUUGUUUGCUUGGAGUGUACUCUACCUUUCCUUUUUGCUUCUUUUUGAAUGAUUUUUGUUAGGGUUCAUCCAUUUACUAGAGUACUCUUCUUUAUUCCUUCUCUCACUUUUAAACUAUUCUUUUGUUUAUGCGGUUUCUGGAGAACUCUGACUAUUCUUUUUUCUUUUGAUCGUUAUAAUUUGUGAGGUUUGAUUGGUUUCUAGUUGGGGGUGAUAUUUUUUAUUGAUCUACACAAAAGCUAGAGUCAUGUUUUACCGUAGCUUUUUCUUUCUUUUUCUAUAGUCCAUAAGAAAGCGAAGAAUCAAGUUGCAAGAUAAGAACAAUAAUCUUUUUUUUAAUCUCCCUAAACAGAGAGGGAAUCAUGACGUGUUAGCCGCAAAUUCCCUCUCCCUUUAGUUAACAUCAGAAACAGAGGAAAAUUAACAAUCCAAUCUCAAUGCAUCUCAAGAAUCUUUGAUCCAAGAAGGCUUUUAGCUUUUGGAAACUGAGGAUGGGUUAAGUCAAGUAGUAGUUUAGAUGGAAAUCAACUGAGGCUAACUAACUCUUUCUUUGGGAGUAGGUUUUGCCUAACUUAAUUUAUUAGCUCUUUGUACACCUGUAGGACCCUGCUUUACCAGACUUUGUAUUUUAUGAUGUUUUUUGUUCCUUGCUGCUGAAUCUUCCUUAAUUUAUACGCAAUCGACCUUUGUAGUCAAUUUCUUCUUUUGGUCUAAGUUCUGAUAUCAUCAUCACUUUUUCUUUUUAUUAAUGGGAUGUGAACCAUAUAGUGGAGAAAAGAGGAACAAUCAAAGUAGAUAAGCUAAACCCAAAGCCACUUUUCCUCUCCUACUUUUAAAUUUUUUUUGUGUCCCUAAUCACUAAUCAAUUAAAUAAGUACCUUUAGGUAGAUGGCUACAACUCUGUUUCUCUUUAAUACAAUCCAUAUGACUGAGAAUCUGAAUGCACUAAAGUCUUGAAAAUAUUGGUUUCUGCCUGUUUGCUUAUGUGUCAUUUGUCUUUAAGAGACUAUUCUGAGUUUUGCUGUUGAUUUUUUUCCAAAUCUCAGGAACAAGGUGAGCAUAGUUGAAGCAGGUGCUUUAGAGCCAAUCAUGAACUUCUUACAAUCUAACAGCCCAACACUUCAAGAAUACGCUUCUGCAUCUCUCCUCACUCUCUCCGCAUCCGCUAACAACAAACCCAUCAUCGGAGCUAACGGAGUGAUUCCACUAUUAGUCAAAGUCAUUAAACACGGAAGCCCACAAGCUAAAGCUGAUGCAGUCAUGGCACUCUCCAACCUCUCUACACUCUCCACUAACCUAACAACGAUCAUAGCGACCAAACCACUCUCACCGAUCCUGAACCUUCUAAAAUCAAGUAAAAAAUCAUCGAAAACAUCUGAGAAAUGCUGUUCCCUGAUAGAAUCCUUGAUGGUUUCUAACGAGAAGGCGAGAACGGGUUUAGUCUCAGAUGAAGGAGGAGUGUUGGCAGUGGUGGAAGUUCUUGAAAACGGG
rnacentral:lncRNA from 1 species